GCCCGGGCUACAGAGCAAGACUCCGUCUCAAAAAAAAAAAAAAAAAAAAAAGAAUCUGACAUUCUGCCACUCAUAAAGGAUGACAGAGUUUAAAAACUGAAGCUGAAAAGCAGAAGACAUUUGACACCUUUUGGAGAAAACAACAACAACAGUCAAGCUAGUUACUUCCUUGAAAAAUGGUCUUCAUGCUGAAUGGGAACCACCAGAUUCUCUCUGGUGUUCAGCAUUCCAGAGCAACCCUGAAAAUAAAUUAUCUGGCUGGAAUCGUUGCUCCAACAGUUGGAUUCUUAGCAGUAGUUUAUUAGCCAGACAAAAUAAUUUUUUUAUAAAGAAAAAAAAAAAAGGAAAGCCCGCAGAAGAAAAAACCCCAGGGCCCACUGCUAGCUCUUUUGAUGGCAACUUUUCUAGAAGGGCAGUGGCCAGAGGGGGCCUUUGGCUUUUCUGGGUGGCUGGAGUCAGGUUUGUAGGACCUGCCUGUGAUAGUAGGUUUCAUCUUACAGCUGACUCUGAUGGAUUAGUAGGUACCUGGAAAGUCAUUCUGAAAGAUUCUGAGGCUUGGUCUGGGCUCAGUGAAGAGUUCUGUGAUUAACUAGUGAUGUCUGCCUUUGGCUUGGGUGGGGCGGUACUGGUGCCUGGUAUUUGCUGUCCUGCCAGAGCAGGUUGGGAAGAUCCUUUAGUACUUGUCCUUCUACUGGGCAGCAGAUCAAGGACUCAGGCCAGUGUUGCUUCCGAUGUCCUGGAAAAGUGUUUUCUGAGCCUCCAGCACAUAAUGUUUUACUCUCUGAAGGAGGCUUAUUCUGAUUAGCUUAACAGAGAGAAUGGAAGAAAGGAAGUCUAUUGAUUCAGCUCCUUGGUCACGAGACAGGAAUUGCAAGGUGGAGGGAAGCUGGAAUUCCAACAUGUAAUUCCGUGGAUACUCCAAUAAAGCACAGGCGUAGGUGCCACUGAUCCAGCAGAGGCAGCCACAAACCGCAGGCCCUGGUAAACUGCCUGUGGCCAGAGGUCAUGGCUGCAAAUUCCAGGGAAACUGCAUCCUUGGUAGGCAGUCAACCGUACACUCCAUACUUGCGAUUCUUGAUAUUUGAAAUCAAAGUGCGGCCACUUUUCUUUAAGGAAGCUUUAGAGAACUUGCCAGUCUGUUUAGGAUUGAAGGUGAUUCUCAGUUAUCCAUGCUGAUGGAACAGAUAAACUGAAGUUCAUUUCUCCUCAGCUGUGGAACGUGCUUUAUGUUUUUGUGCUGUUGAUCUGCUUUCCUGGUAAGGUUUGAACUCUUCAGAUUUUUCUUUCUAUAAAGAACGGUUGAGGGGGAGUGUAGUGCUUUUUGCAGCUCCCCCAGUAUGUUUCUAACAUAGCCAGCCAAAUGUCUCUGAGCCCUCCCAGCCUCCUAACUUUAAAUCCAUGAACUGCACCAGGGAAAUAAUCAACUAGCUGCAGUUUGUUGAGCACUUACUGUGUGCUCCCUGGGAUCCAGGUACAGCAGUCUUGAGGGAUUACAAAGUACAUCGGCAUGAAACUAGGCAAGAUUUUAGCCUCUUGAGAGGGAUGUUCAAUUUCAGCUAAAGCUCCCUCAGCAUAUUUGUAUCCCAUCAAAUAUCUCUGAGUCGCAGCCAGGCGCGGUGGCUCACGCCUGUAAUCCCAGCACUUUGGGAGGUUGUGUGACAAGGACUUGAUCCAAGAGUGUGUUGGGCAAUAGGGUGAAGUGGGCUGCAGGUUAAACAUUGGCUAUAGGGAUUUGCAAAAGCGUUCACUGAGAGUGGGCCUGACUUCCUCUGCUACUGCUGUUUCCUGUUGUUUCCAGUAACUGCACUUGAGCUCUGCAUACGAUUAACUUUCAAUUAUCCUGAGGCUGAUUAACUGGUUUGCAGAUUAACCAAGGUGAAGGCUCACCUGGGCCUGGGAGUCACUCAUCAACUCAGCUGCUCCAUAAUUAGCUGGUGAUGGCUAAUUGCCUGCCCCAGGGUUGGGAAACCUGGGCACUGGGGGACUGCAGGGGAGGGGGACCACGGGAUGACUUCUUCCAGGACCUUCUACUCUCUCCAACCAGAGGUGCCCUCUAGCCCUAUAAACUUCUGUGUUCUCCAGUGCAGUACCUGAGAGGUUCAGAAGUUCUCUGGGUCCUGGUGCUCUGCUCCUGCUACCUUUCAGCUCCUGCCCCCAACACCCUGUUCAAAUUGGGAACAAGUUGACCACAGGGCACAGUGAAUUUGAAAGUCCAGAGAUUAAGUAAUACGUUGCAAGGGACCCAGUGAGCAGGGGCCACUAAUCCCCUUUCUUCCUCAGCCUAGGAACCUCCUCCCUUCCCAAGAUAUAGAUAAAUAUAGAAGAGAUUGAGACCUUGAGCAGUGGUCUCUUGGCCAGUGGAGACCAAGACCACUGAAGCAAGGAGUCAGGGGCUGCCCACAACAGCACAGCUCCCCAGAGUCCAGGCCACCCCAUGGUGAUUGUUUGGGAUCCUUGUGAUUGCCUCCCAUGGCUGCCCUGGUUCAUAGAGAGUUGACCGCAUUUGCCUGGGUCCCUGUGGGGUGAGAGUAUGGAAAUAUGUGUAUUUGUCACACCUUACACCAGACCAGAAUAUACACAGUUUAACCUAGGAGUCAAGCUCCUGCCAUAUUUGGAAUGAUCUCAGUUUUGAGACAUGGUACCUUGGAUCCCAGGUAUAUCCAAAGUCUUGAGAGUGUCCAUUGAGGACUUUGGUCUGUGGCCCACCAAGAAAGAGUAAACAUUUGCGUGGGAUCAUAUUUGAUGGGAUUCCAUGGAUUGUUUUCAUUUCUUAAGCAGCAUUCCCCUGAGCCUUUGACAUGUCUUUCCAUCUCUGGCUGUGUUCUCACUUGCAUUUGCCAGGCCUGCAAUGCCCCUGCCUCGAUACAACACAGUGUGCUGGCAGCUGCAGUCCCUUUUCAGCCAGGGCCAUGGGUUUCCUUGGGUCCUUCUCUCUGGCUCACGUUUUCCAGGGCUGUUGGUGUGUACAGUCUAGAGAUCACAUUUUAUUAACACAAAGAAAUCUGCUUGGGCUGCCUGGCUCUUGCAGUCACGUGGAGAGAAAUGUGUUCCUUUGGUCCUUCAGCCUGCAGCACUCUGUGCAAAAUACAGCAGAGAGCUGGGCACCGGGCCAAGCUUACAUUUCACUUCGGAACACACUUUCACAUCACUCCUUGGCAGAACAUCCACGGCGGUGUCUAUUUGGGGAGUAAGUUAGAGAAGUGUUGUUUCCCUCUUAUGAGUGUCGAGAGAUAGGACCUUUAGAAAAUGUUUUACUUUUCCCCCGCCUUCAUCUUCUUCGCGGUGCCCAGGUACUAAGGUGAUCCAGCUAAAUGUGGCAGUGGUGCCUGUGAGAAGCCCCUUCCUUCCUCGGGCCACCGUUUUCUCUUGCAAAAUCAGUAAACAGAGCCAGGACCGCCUGGGACACAGAAACUGAGGCCAAGGUGGCCACCUGAAGCUUGACUGCGUUUGAAAAUAAAGUUGGUUUUAGAAUUUUAAACCUUCCUUAGGAAAGAUCUGAAUGGUUAGAAAACAAAGAUUUAUUGGAAUAAUAACUGACGUUUCUCUUCUCAAUGGAAUAGACCCCUCUCAUAACAAAUGCUUCAAAAUAAACUCUUUUUUUCCCCAUCACACCAAGCCAUAAAUUCCGUAAGGAUUUCCCAAGCGCCAAGCCUUAUUCAGAGUCUUAUAUUUACUGCUUUGGAAUGUUACUUUUGCCAUCAGUAUCAUCCAGCCAAGCAACAACCAAUCAAGACUUAGAGAAACUUGUCCAGCUAGAUGCACGUGCCAGGCUGCUGCUUCCUACCAUGUUGGAAGGCCUCCUUUGUCACAGAGGAUGCCCCAAAUCUCAGGCACUGGGAUACAGCCUCCUGCCAGUCCGCGGGUGCAGUCUUUACUUACUCUGCAGAAGGGAGGUGACAGAAACCCAUUCCACCUGUCUCAAAAACCUGCCGAGACAUGAUUGGAAGUCAGCAGCUCCAGCCUGCAUGUUCCCAGAUCACCUGUAAGAGUUCUUAAAACUCAUCCCACAGGUUCUUAAUUGGGAUUUUUAACUGGGUAAGUAGAGAAGCUCCAUGUUGGGUGUGGGGAAGGGAGGAUGCAGAUGGAUAUAAAUUUUUUGAAAAAACAUCAACUUAUGUUUCUUUGGUUAAUAGAUGCAGGAGAAUGCCCCUCCUCUCCAUGUGGUAUGUCAGGGUAUAGCUUCUUUGAGCACAGGAUUUGAUUGGUUUACAGAAUGGCAUGUCUCCCUAUGCCAGCCAGUGAUAAGUGGCGCUAAAACAGACUUGGCCUUGCUAAAGGCUUCCAAGCACCAGGCCAUGAGUAGUUGACCCCACCACAGAGGUAUGUGCAGCUGGCAGGAAGCUGCCCUUCUGGUUCACUGACUCAAGAGUUAGAACAGAGUGAUCCCUGGACUUGCAGUGCCCUCAGUAUCCCUGCACAGAAUUCAUUCUAUGUACCCCAGACCCUGUGUGCCUAUAGCAGGAAAUACAGUGUGAGCCUCUGGCAAUAUCCAGAGUUGCUUGAGCCUCCUCACAUUUGCUUCUGUUCAGUUUAGUGUGCCUCAGUUUACUAAUAUGCUGGGGAAAAUAACACCCAUUUUGCCAAGAUGAGAUAGCAAAGUUCUCUGCAUAAAAUAGUGCAUAAAGUUAUUCAUAUGACGAGGCAUUUGAAAAAUUACUUUGAGAAUGACUUAAAAUAUAGAACAAUUUUUUUUAAAUGUGGCAAACAUCCUUAUUCUUAUCACCCAGAAUUAACAAUUCAGUAUAGUUGCCAUAUAUUCAUAUAUAAAUUUACCUAUAUAUUCAUAUGUGAUUCUAGACAUUGCAGAUUCACUUGGGGGUCUCAGGGAACUUUUUAUAAAAAGAAAUGCAUUUAGUUCAUAAGGCCUGAUUGAGUUAAUUCUAAGUCUGUUUUCUCAGUUCUUAAUCCUUCCUAGCACUUUGCAUUCAUUGUAUUAAUAAAUAAGCCUGUUUUGAGCCUAGUUAGAAAAAAAAAAAGGCCAGCCUCAUUCAUUAGAAUUCUGCAUUCCCUUUGGAUAUUCUUUGUUGGAGAGCAGUAGGCUCACUGGUACAGAAUUCCAAGAUAUUUUGCUUUGGAAUGUGAAAGGAGCCUCUCUUGACAACCCAAGGAGAAACUGCCUCAAAAUGAUCUUUCUUCCUCAGUGCUGAAAAAGAAAACCAGACAAAUAAGCACAACCAACAUUAACAGAAGGCCUUGGUGCAGCCUCAAGAAUUAAAGUGCUGUACUCUAUGGAAAACAGUGUGGAGGUUCCUCAGAAAACUAGAAAUAGAUCUACCAUAUGACCCAGCAGUGCCACUGCUGGGUAUACAGCCGUACUUCAUUUUAUUGGACUUCACUGUAUUGCACUUUGCCGAUAGUGUGUUUAUUAAAAAUGGAAGGUUUGUGGUAACCUUGCAUUGCACAAGCCUGUUGGCACCAUUUUUCCAACAGCAUGUGUUCACUUGAUGUCUCUGUCAUAUUGUGGUGGUUCUAGCAAUAUUUCAAGUUUUCCAUUAUUAUUAUAUUUGUUAUGGUGAUCUGUGGUUAGUGAUCUUUGAUGUUACUAUUGUUAUUGUUUGGGGGCACCAUGAGCCACACCCAUAUAAGAUGGUGAACUUAAUACAUGUUACGUAUAUUCUUCUGGCUGCUUCACCAACUGGCCGUUCUCCCAUUUCUCUCCCUCUCCUUGGGAUUCCUGCUCCCUGAGACACAACACUAAGGAUGAAAGUAGGCCAGUUAAUAACCCUACAAUGGCCUCUAAGCACUCAAGUGAACAGAAGAGUCGCAGGUCUCUGACUUUAAGUCAAAAGCUAGAAAUGAGUAAGCUUAAUUUGGAAGGUAGGUCAGAAGCCAAGACAGGCCAAAAGCUAGGCUUCUUGAGCCAAACAGUUAGCUAUGUUGUGAAUGCAAAGGAAAAGUUCUUGAAGGAAAUUCAAAGCACUACACCAGUGAACACACAAAUGAUUAGAAAGUAGUGAAACAGCCGUAUUGCUGUUAUAAAGAAAGUGUGAGUGUCCUGGAUAGAAGAUUAAACCAUCCACAACAUUCCCUUAAGCCAAAGCCUAAUCUAGAGCAAGGGCCUAACUCUCUUCAAUUCUGUGAAGGCUGAGAGAGGUAAGGAAGCUGUAGAAGAAAAUUUUGAAGCUAGCAGAGGUUGGUUCAUGAGGUUUAAGGAAAGAAGCCAUCUCCAUAACAAAAAAGUACAAGGCAAAGCAGCAAGAGAUGGUGUAGACACUGCAGCAAAUUAUCCAAAAGAUCUAGCUCAGCUCAUUGAUGAAGGUGACUGUACUAAACAACAGAGUUUCAGUAUAGACUCAACAGCCUUGUAUUGAAAGAAGACACCAUGUAAAACAUAGCUAGAGAGAAAUCCACACCUGGCAUCAAAGGACAGGCUGACUUUUGUUAGUGGGCAAUGUAGUGGGUGACUUUAAAUUGAAGCCAGUGCUCAUUCACCAUUCCAAAAGUCCUAGGGUCUUUGAGAAUUAUACUAAAUCUACUCUUCCUGUGCUCUAUAAAUGGAAUAGCAAAGCCUGGAUCAGAGCACAUCUGUUUACAGCAUGGUUUACUGAAUAUUUUGAGCCCACUGUUAAGACUUACUGCUCAGAAAAAAAAAAAAAAAAAAAGCUCUUUCAAAAUAUUACUGCUCAUUGGCAGUUUACCUGGUUAUCCAAAAACUCUGAUGGAGAUGUACAAGAAGAUUAAUGUUAUUUUCAUGCCGGCUAACACAUUUAUUCUUCAGCCUAUGGAUCAAGGAAUAAUUUUGACUGUCAAAUCUCAUUACUUAAGAAAUUUACUUUAUAAGACUAUAGCUGCCAUUGAUAGUGAUUCCUUUGAUAGAUCUAGGCAAAGUAAAUCAAAAGCCUUCUGAAAGGAUUCGCCACUCUAGAUGCCAUUAAAAACAUUCAUGGUUCAUGGGAAGGGACAUUAACUAACUCCAACAUUAAUUGAAGUUAGUAGAAGUUGAUUGCAACCCUUAUGGUAGAUGACUUGGAGGACUUCAAGAUUUCAGUGGAGGAAAUAACUUUAGAUGUGGCGGAAAUAGCGAGAGACCUAGAAUUAGAAGCAGAACUUGAAGAUGCGACUGAAUUGCUGCAAUCUCAUGAUAAAACUUGAAUGGAUAAGGGAUUGUUUCUUGCAGAUGAACAAAGGAAGUGCUUUCCUGAGAUGGAAUCUAGUCCUAGUGAUGAUGCUGUGAACAUUGUUGAAAUGCCAGUAAAGAAUUUAGAAUAUUACAUAAACUUAGUUGGUAUAGCAGUGGCAGGGUUUGAGAGGAUUGACUCCAAUUUUGAAAUCAGUUCUACUGUGAGUAAAAUGCUAUCAAAUAGCACCGUGUGCUACAGAAAAAUGUUUCCUGAAGGGAAGAGUCAAUUGAUGGGGCAAACUUCAUUAUUGUCUUAUUUUAAGAAACUGCCACAACCACCCCAACCUUCAGCAAACACUACCCUGAUCAAUUAGUAGCCAUCAACAUUAAGGCAAGGCCCAUCACCAGUAAAAAUGACUCACUAAAGGCUCAGGGGAUCAUUACCAUUGUUUAGCAAUGAAGUGUUCUUAAGGCAUGUACAUUGUUUUUAGUCACAAUGGUAUUGCACACUGGAUAGAUUACAAUAUAGCAUAAACAUAACUUUUACAUCCACUGGGAAACCAAAAAAAUUCAUGUGACUUGCUUUAUUGGAUUCUUAGCUUUAUUGCAGUGGUCUAGAACUGGUCCUGCAAUAUCUCUGAGGUACGCCUUUAUAUCCAAAGGAAUGGAAAUCAGUAUAUCAAAGAGAUACCGGCAUUCCCAUGUUUAUUGCCGCACUAUUCAUGGUAGCCGAGGAAUGGAAUCAACCUUAAGUGUCCAUCAGUGGGUGAAUGGACAAAGAAAAUAUGGCAUACAUACACAAUGGAAUACUAUUCCACCAUAAAAAAAAGAAUGAAAUUCUGUCACUUGCAGCAACAUAGAUGAAAUUGGAGGUCAUUUAUGUUAAGUGAAAUAAGCCAUUCACAGGAAGACAAGUAUUGUAUGUUCUUAUUCAUAUGUAGAGCUAAAAAGGUUGAUCUCGUGGAGGUAGAGAGGCUGGGAAGGUUAGCGGGGGCUGGGAGGUGGGAUUUAGAGAGGUUAGUUAAGAGGUACUAAAACACAGAUUUGUAUCUCGAACUUAUUUGUACACACAGAUACGCACCCUACUAAUAGUAGGGUGACUAUGGUUAACAAGGAUUUAUUGUAUAUUUCAAAAUAAUGGAAGAUUUGAAAUGGUCCCAUCACAAAGAAAUGAUCAAUGAUCCCAGUUACCCUGAUUUGAUCAUUACACAUUAUACGCAUGUAUCAAAAGAUCACAUGUACUAUAUUAAUAUGUACAUUUAUUAUGUAUUAAGAUUUGAGGUGCUGUGUGUGCUUGAGGAGUUAUAGGGGAUGCCGGUGGAAUGGUCAUUACAUGUGGCAGCUGGACAGGGCAGCGGCCAAUCGCCAUUGUGCUCUGAGGAGAGAAGGCAGAGCUUCCCCCUUUAUCUCCUGGCUGGUGAAAUCCUAAGAACUGGGCAGUCAACUAUGCACCAAGUUUUCUCUGACUACAGAGCUCCUAUCAAAUGAAUGGGUAGAAAAAGAAUGGUGUAAUAAUAGCUAACCCUUCUUUAGUGCUGCUUAUAGUCUGGGCACUGGGCUGAGUGGUUUAUAUGUGUUAUAUCAUUAAAACUCAAUCUCUGGGAACGACUGUUAGUACUCGGUAGGUAUACUAUUAUUAUUGUCAUUUUACAGAUGAGAAAACCGAGGCCCAGAGAAAGUGAGCAAAAUGGUGCUAGGGGCAAUUAAUAGGUGGCAGGGCUGGAACAUGAAGCUGCAGUCUGGCACCAGAGCCCAUUCAUGGAGCCCCAACUCAAUGGUCUACUUCUCAGUAGAAGACUUUGCCUUGUGCAAGGUAGUAGAAUGUCUAAAACCAUCAGAACACCUGUGUGGAUGGCACAAUGCGGUGGCAGAUAUGUACCAGGGACCUAGACGUGGAGGGAGUGAGGAGGAAAGGAGCAACGUAUGCACCUCUGGGGAGGCCCUAAGGUCUCCUCAGUGAAUUCCUGGGGAAUUUAACUUUAAAGGACACAGAGAGGGUAGUUUUUAAUGCAGGUUUUACUUUUAAGUCAUGAGGGAUGACUUUCUAAGCUACAGUUCCUUCUGAUAUGAUCUUAAAAAAGAAGCACCAUGAAGCGAUAAACACAGCAGCCCAGGAAGAUUUAGGGACAGCCUAGUAGAGGGGGAUUGGAAACACUGAGUCUGGCUGUGUCCCUGAGGGUGCUGGUUCUAAACCCACAGCACAGUCCAUAAAAGUCAAAGCUUCAUUCUCCUUGUGCCCACACUAAGCUGAUCUGCCCCAGUGCAACAGGGAGACGCAUAUGGUCAAGAGAAUCUGUCUUUCACGAACAGAUUUUCUCCUUCGACCAUGGUGAGAAGUCCUUAUAAAGAAGUAUACAUGAAUAUAUGGAUGUGUUGGGCAUCAGCUGUGCAUGUGGCCAUCAGCCGGGUGAGUGGAGGAAGUUGGAAGUAUUCAGUGUUCACUUCCUUGUGCUUUUCAGAAACAUACCUGGUGAGCUCUCUGAAGAUACACAAUGUAGGGGGAGAGAUCCGCAUUUAUGCUAUAAAGGGAGAGAAGCAGCACAGGGCAUGUAGCUGGCACUUGGUAAAUAUUAGUUUCCUUCCCCUUUCUGUGUGUAAGGCAAGUUGUACGAGCAAAGUAUCAGCAGCUCAGAAUGCAAAAAUAGAUCUCCAUGUGGGGAUGUGGCCUCUUUUCCCCAAGUGUGGACCAGAUGUCAGGCCGCCUUGUGAGUACUCAAGGAAUGUUACGGCUUCCUUCUUCAGGACUUCACUGCUUCUCUCCAUAUGGAGAAGGCUCCCUUUCCAUGCACUUCCUGAAUCUGAAAAACAAGAACAAGAAAGAGGAUGGCUCUAAAGUCUCAGGAAAUGGACCUUCUAUAUUCUCCCUUUUAAAAAGCAUUUGUGUGUAUGUUUUUUAGGUCUUGCUGUCAAGUCGGAUACACAGCUGUCAUCUGUUAUGUCAGUGAUUUAAUAACAUAAUAAAAAUUUAUGGAAAACCACAAGCCCAUGGAUUUUUUUUUUUGGAGUGCAUUUAUUCAUCAUUAUGAUUAUUUUUAAUCAUUUACUGAAGGCCUGGCAAGGUGCUGGUAAUUCAGAGAUAAGGAAGAUGUCAUCCUUUAAACUUGAGAAGCUUAUAAAUGGCAAAGAGAUAUAAUUAAUUGUGAAUAGAGUGUGGUAGAUGGAGUCAGAUUAUAUAUGAGGUAGAAUCAGGAAAGCAAGAAUGGCCAGCUCUGAAUAGAGUGAGGAGGGAAGAUCGGAGAUGAUCCUUGAAUUGUGUCUUGAAGAAUGAGCAAAAAUUAUAUUCACGGAAAGAAAAGAUACAAUAUAAGUGAUUUGUUGAGUUUUUCUUGGCUGAUAUUAAGAAUGAAUUUUCAUUAAAUAUGCACCAGUAAUUCACAGGAAAUGAUCAGGUCAGAGUGUUACGGGACAUGGGUUUGAAAUAUAAUGAGAGG